rnacentral:tRNA from 1 species
GCGUCCGUAGCUCAGCUGGAUAGAGCAACAGCCUUCUAAGCUGUGGGUCAGUGGUUCGAAUCCACUCGGACGCACCA